UUCUGGCUCAGGAUGAACGCUAGCGAUAGGCCUAACACAUGCAAGUCGAGGGGCAUCACAUGAAGUAGCAAUGCGGAUGGUGGCGACCGCGCACGGGUGAGUAACACGUAUGCAACCUGCCUUCAACAAGGGGAUAACCCGUUGAAAGACGGACUAAUACCCUAUAACACAGGGGCCCCGCAUGGGGGAUAUUUGUUAAAGAUUAAUCGGUUGAAAGAUGGGCAUGCGUUCCAUUAGCUAGUUGGUGGGGUAAUGGCCCACCAAGGCAACGAUGGAUAGGGGAACUGAGAGGUUUAUCCCCCACACUGGUACUGAGACACGGACCAGACUCCUACGGGAGGCAGCAGUGAGGAAUAUUGGUCAAUGGACGCAAGUCUGAACCAGCCACGUCCGCGUGAAGGAAGACGGCCCUACGGGUUGUAAACUUCUUUUGCAAGGGAAUAAAGUGAGUCACGUGUGACUUUUUGCAAGUACCUUGCGAAUAAGGAUCGGCUAACUCCGUGCCAGCCGCAGC
rnacentral:rRNA from 1 species